rnacentral:rRNA from 1 species
AUUCCCCUAGUAACUGCGAGUGAAGCGGGAAAAGCUCAAAUUUAAAAUCUGGUGGCCUUUGGCCAUCCGAGUUGUAAUUUAGAGAAGCGUUUUCCGCGCUGGUCCGUGCACAAGUCUCCUGGAAUGGAGCGUCAUAGAGGGUGAGAAUCCCGUCUUUGGCACGGACACACCAGGGCUUUGUGAUGCGCUCUCGAAGAGUCGAGUUGUUUGGGAAUGCAGCUCAAAAUGGGUGGUGAACUCCAUCUAAAGCUAAAUAUUGGCGAGAGACCGAUAGCGAACAAGUACCGUGAGGGAAAGAUGAAAAGCACUUUGGAAAGAGAGUGAAACAGUACGUGAAAUUGUUGAAAGGGAAACGCUUGAAGUCAGUCGCGUCGACCGAGACUCAGCCUUGCCUUGGCUUGGUGUACUUCUCGGCUGACGGGUCAGCAUCAAUUUUGCCUCUUGGAUAAUGGCAAGGGAAAUGUGACACCUUUACGGUGUGUUAUAGUCCCUUGUCGCAUGCAAGGGUUGGGAUUGAGGAACUCAGCACGCGCCUUUGGGUGUCGGGGCUUUGCCCACGAUACGUGCUUAGGAUGUUGGCAUAAUGGCUUUAAACGACCCGUCUUGAAACACGGACCAAGGAGUCUAACAUACCUGCGAGUGUUCGGGUGGAAAACCCGUGCGCGCAAUGAAAGUGAAAGUUGGGACCUCUGUCGUGGAGGGCACCGACGCCCGGACCAGACCUUCUGUGACGGCUCUGCGGUAAAGCAUGUAUGUUAGGACCCGAAAGAUGGUGAACUAUGCCUGAAUAGGGUGAAGCCAGAGGAAACUCUGGUGGAGGCUCGUAGCGAUUCUGACGUGCAAAUCGAUCGUCAAAUUUGGGUAUAGGGGCGAAAGAC